rnacentral:lncRNA from 1 species
UAUGGACGUUCCUCCUUGCCUGGGUGCAUACAACAUACGAAAGUGCUUGUGUGAAUUUUUUUCAGCGCAGUACGGACCCCAGAAUGAAAUUGCAGAAAUUAGGCCGCAAUUUCACAAGUUUCGUCCGCCUUGGUUUUACAAAAUUUCUGAAAAAUUCUUCCGGAAUGGUUUUUUCCUGAAAUUCCACCCAAGAAUCUCCACUGAAUUUGGGACAAAACG